GACAUUUUGCCACACUUUCACAGGGCAUACUUCCUCUCGGCCGGCUGCCUCCCCGGGGCCAUCUGUGACAUCUGAGCCAUCUGGCCUGAAUGCUCUCCCAGAACGAGAAUUUCACGGUGAAGUGCUCAGAACUUAUAACAUCAUAAAACUAACCGUACAACAGAUAGCAAGCUCCAUGGACACGUCACUUGCCGCUUGUAGAACUGCCUCAGCACCUUGCUCCGCUAGUCUCAAGCCCCUUCGAAGAUGUGGAUGCCUUGAUGGAGUUCGAGAAGUCACUUACUAAGGAAAAUGAAGACGUCCUGAUCAGCGAGCUGAUCCAGCUUGGUGGCGUGAACCCAAACAUCGCAGUGAAGCGCAUACUCAUAUAUCUUUUUGCUGACUCCUUGGCUGCCCAAUUUUCCCGGCAUGGCAAGAAGGGGAAAAGGAAAUUUUCAGAACUCAAACUGUGCCAGUGCCUGUUCAGUGCUAUAAGGAAACGUUUCCCAAGCAGCACAAGGGAUGACGUCGAGAGCAGCGCGAAGUCAUGGCUCCGCCACGCCCCAGAGAGGGCUUAUGGCAAAGGCAGCGAAAAUUGAAAACAGUGUUGUCAAGUUGCAGACCUCAGCUCCAAGACAAAAGUGUGAUGCAGGCGACUUGUCGCAGCCUUCUUCGAAAGCGCGGAGCACAAUCUCAUGGACACCACCGCCAUCUCGUUGUUGACUCUGCUUCUCAUUUCUUCUCAUCUGCCAACUUCGUCAUCACUACAGUAACAUUCCUAAAUUUUGUCGCGCAUUGCUGUAGGCACGAGCUCUUGAGCCUGGUCAUUGCCAUUUUUUGUAGUUCCAACCUCGAUACCACAGUGGCAGAAACUGCAAGAUUUUAGCCACCAUAACUUAACGCCAAGCCUGCACCAACAUGCGCGUAGCUGUGUGCAGUGUUUCUAUGUAUUUCUUUUUGCUAACCGUGUAAAAUACCAUUGUUUCAAUCAUGUGGCCACUGUAGAGCCAAAAUCACAAAAUCUGAAUGACAUCCAAGUUCACAAAAUAGCUACUUAAGUUCGAGAAAAAAGUAGCACUCCGCAGCAAUAAGUUUUUAUCGUUGACAAUUUUUAGCACGGAAGGUGGACAAAGGGUUGAGAGCUACUAACCUGGUUUUACUCUUUCUAAACAUGACAUGACUAGAGGCAAUAGGCCUGGCCAUUAUCAGCGUCAUUGUUCUGAUGAUUUUCUGAUUGAUGAUUGAUGUUCUGUGACUACAGUUUUUCUGUUAUUUUAUGCACCUAUUGUAACCCUGUCAGUAAUGCUUUUAAGCAUCGUUGCAUCAUUUUGGUACCGUAGAAACCGCAAUAUAGGUCGGACCGGAUUAUAGGUUGACCCCCCGACUUUUAACUACUGAAAAUCGAAAAUAAAGUACAUGGU